rnacentral:rRNA from 1 species
CCUGAUCCAGCCAUGCCGCGUGAGUGAUGAAGGCCCUAGGGUUGUAAAGCUCUUUCACCGGUGAAGAUAAUGACGGUAACCGGAGAAGAAGCCCCGGCUAACUUCGUGCCAGCAGCCGCGGUAAUACGAAGGGGGCUAGCGUUGUUCGGAUUUACUGGGCGUAAAGCGCACGUAGGCGGACUUUUAAGUCAGGGGUGAAAUCCCGGGACUCAACCCCGGAACUGCCUUUGAUACUGGAAGUCUUGAGUAUGGUAGAGGUGAGUGGAAUUCCGAGCGCAUCUGUGACAUUCAUACCUAUUCGUCCUUAC